UACGGGGGGGGCAAGCGUUGUUCGGAAUUACUGGGCGUAAAGGGCGCGUAGGCGGCUCGCUAAGUUGAAUGUGAAAACUCUGGGCUUAACCCAGAGCCUGCAUUCAAUACUGGCGGGCUAGAGUUCUGGAGGGGAUAGCGGAAUUCCUGGUGUAGCGGUGAAAUGCGUAGAUAUCAGGAGGAACACCGGUGGCGAAGGCGGCUAUCUGGACAGAGUCUGACGCUGAGGCGCGAAAGCUAGGGGAGCAAACAGG
rnacentral:rRNA from 1 species